AGUGUCGAGGUCAUGAAAGCCACUGAAAGACUGAGAACUGUUCCAGAAAGGAGACUAGAGAGACAUGGCAGCCAAAUGCUCCACAUAAUCCUGUCCUGGAUUCUUCUCCUACAAAGGAAGGGGUCUGAGGAUUAGGUGGUAGUACUGAAUCAAGGAACUAUCAUCUCCUAUUGUGCUGUAGGCAAACUUGAGUGACAUGGGGGAAGCCACCAGAGAGAAUAUCUGAAGCAAUUCAUUAAAAUCUUGGCAGCCAGACCCCAGCUCCCACUUUCCCUGAAAGCUCCCUUUAAUGAAGCUGAACGCUGUCCCAGCAAUUCCCUCCACAGAAGACCUACUGUCACCACCUCUGGAGGGGCAAUUCCUGGAGGAACCAAGUCAGCCAAUCGAAGGUCCUGAAUAAGCAAAAACUAAGUAAAUAAA
rnacentral:lncRNA from 10 species